GAACGGUAACAGGUUAAGCUGACGAGUGGCGAACGGGUGAGUAAUGUAUCGGAACGUGCCCAGUCGUGGGGGAUAACUGCUCGAAAGAGCAGCUAAUACCGCAUACGACCUGAGGGUGAAAGCGGGGGAUCGCAAGACCUCGCGCGAUUGGAGCGGCCGAUAUCAGAUUAGGUAGUUGGUGGGGUAAAGGCCUACCAAGCCUACGAUCUGUAGCUGGUCUGAGAGGACGACCAGCCACACUGGGACUGAGACACGGCCCAGACUCCUACGGGAGGCAGCAGUGGGGAAUUUUGGACAAUGGACGCAAGUCUGAUCCAGCCAUGCCGCGUGCGGGAAGAAGGCCUUCGGGUUGUAAACCGCUUUUGUCAGGGAAGAAAAGGGUGUUUCUAAUAAAGACGCCUCAUGACGGUACCUGAAGAAUAAGCACCGGCUAACUACGUG
rnacentral:rRNA from 1 species